UACGGGGGGAGCAAGCGUUGUUCGGAUUUACUGGGCGUAAAGGGCGCGUAGGCGGUCAGCACAAGUCAGUUGUGAAAUCUCCGGGCUUAACUCGGAAAGGUCAACUGAUACUGUGCGACUAGAGUGCAGAAGGGGCAACUGGGAAUUCUCGGUGUAGCGGUGAAAUGCGUAGAUAUCGAGAGGAACACCUGCGGCGAAGGCGGGUUGCUGGGCUGACACUGACGCUGAUGCGCGAAAGCCAGGGGAGCGAACGGGAUUAAGAA
rnacentral:rRNA from 1 species